UACGUAGGGGGCUAGCGUUGCUCGGAAUCACUGGGCGUAAAGGGUGCGUAGGCGGGUUCUUAAGUCAGGGGUGAAAUCCUGGAGCUCAACUCCAGAACUGCCUUUGAUACUGAAGAUCUUGAGUUUGGGAGAGGUGAGUGGAACUGCGAGUGUAGAGGUGAAAUUCGUAGAUAUUCGCAAGAACACCAGUGGCGAAGGCGGCUCACUGGCCCGAUACUGACGCUGAGGCACGAAAGCGUGGGGAGCAAACAGG
rnacentral:rRNA from 1 species